rnacentral:rRNA from 1 species
UACGUAGGGUGCGAGCGUUGUCCGGAUUUAUUGGGCGUAAAGAGCUCGUAGGCGGUCUGUCGCGUCGAAUGUGAAAGCCCAGGGCUCAACUCUGGGUCUGCAUUCGAUACGGGCAGACUAGAGUAUGGCAGGGGAGACUGGAAUUCCUGGUGUAGCGGUGAAAUGCGCAGAUAUCAGGAGGAACACCGGUGGCGAAGGCGGGUCUCUGGGCCAAAACUGACGCUGAGGAGCGAAAGCGUGGGGAGCGAACAGG